ensembl:lncRNA
AUCUUAUAUUGUGGCUUUCUAAUGUUUUACAUUUAUCCUUAUCUUUUUUUCAGUUAAUUAUGCUUUAAAAAACAUUAUUGUGUUAAAAAUGCUCUGUUCAAAUUGUUUUAUUUAAGACAAAUGAAAAUGACAGAUACAAUGACUGGAAAAUCACCUUCAAUCCACCAGAAGUGACCGCCGUUUCAGGAUUAUGCGCUCUCAUUUCAUGUACCUUCAUUCACCCAGACAAAGAUCAACCUCAAAUUGAUCAGGAAAAUGUGUGUAAUAAUCCAACUGAAUGUAAGAAUGAAACUGAGAUACAAAUCGAAGGAAAACAGCUAUUUGAAACAGAACAGAUUAAGUUGCUUGAACCUGAUCUGUCCAAAAACAACUGCAGCAGAAUCAUCAAAGAAAUAAAAGAAGAUGAAAGAGAAAUUGUUUUCAAAAUUGUGCGGAAUAAAAAAACUUUAUCUAAAGCCAGUGUCAAAAUCAUCAUUCAAGACGAGCCUAUAAUGAAGAUUCCUCCUCUCAGAGAGGGAGAGAAGGCCGAUCUGACAUGUUCAGCUCCUUUUCCUUGUCCUGAAACUUCUCCUAAUAUAACAUGGUGGAUCAGGAAAAGAGGGGGAAACAGCACUUAUCUAAAGGACAACAUCAUUCUGAGCACCUCCGAAAGCCUUUACCUCUCAACUUUGACUCUAACUCCAACCUGUGACGAUCACAAUGCCACUAUAGGAUGUAAAGUGAGCUACGGAAGCAAAAAUCAUCAGUACAAAUAGGACCCUCAACUUCACGUGUGUUACAACUGAUUCAAAAGGGAACAAGCCCUCUAGUCCUAAAGGUAAAAACAACACACAGAAUGACAUCAGCAAUACUACAGGUAAUACUGAGCAUGUACAUACUGCAGAAACUGCAUCUUUAUUUCAGGGUGAAUAUGAUUUAGCCAUUUAGGAUAUUUUUCUUGUUUGACAUUGUUGCAGAACAACACUGCUCUCAACCAAUCAGAUUUAGGGUGAUGGUUAAGUUUAGGAUUAGGGCUGGGGUUGAGGACUAAACAAAAGUAUUAUUAAACUAAUAUUUCCUUCUUAUUUUACAUUCAAGAUAAAGCGGCUUUUCAAGUGCAUGUGGACAUCAAAAUGAUAACAGCAUUUCUGAUGGGAAUGUCAACUUCAGCAGUCAUCUUCUCUGUGGUUUUGUGCUGUCAAGGGUCCUGGAAAAGGUAUCACCUACAUAUAUAAGUGAAAAGCUAAAAUGUGCAACACUUUCAACAAAAUGCAUAGAUUUUAUAUACUGAUCAUAUAAAGGUGUUUGGCAUGCUUGUUUGAUUAAGUUUCUGGUUGAUGAGAAAUCAUGUGAAUACUGUCAUCUGUAAACAGACACUCAUUAUUUUAAUAUGACACUCAAAUAAUUUACUGUGCUUUGAUUCUGUCUUAUUGCCUACACUCUUAAAAAUAAAGGUGCUUUAAAGGUUCUUAACAGUGAUGCCACACUGUAAACCCCGACAAGUUAACUUAACUCAAACCGUUUGAGUAAACAGGUUGCCUUGAUUUAAACCAUGUAAGUUUUAAAACUUUGCAUUCAAGUAAUUAAGUGAUUAACUAAGUGCUGAUUGUGAAUUAGUGAUGAACAGCUGCUGUUAACAAACAGAAUCACUGAAGAAAAGAGAAACACAAGAACUACUACAACUGACUUCAGACACAGACUUAGAUGAAAUCAACUGAAAUAAAAUACAUGAAAUCUCUCAAGAUCUGAUUAAACAACCCACAAACAGCAUCAGCAGCUCCACUUAUUAAUAACCAGACUGACUUUAUUUCUGUCAGACGUCUACAGAAGAUCUUAUUGAGAAUGAACUAAGGUUUAGAUGUUGAUUUAUUGUUUCAUUUGAAGUAACCAUGUUAGAGAUCACUGUUUGCUUUAGUUGUGCUCUUGACCCCUGCCUUAGUCUUUUUUCUGGCUGUUAUAACCGUGUGUUUCUAAAACACAUUUGUUGUAACUCAAAAGCCCAGAAGAAAUGCCAUCAGGUGUUAACCUGUUAGAGUUGUGACGUUCGCGAACGAACCGAUUCUUUUGAACGGCUCAUAAACAUGAACGAUGGGAGCCGAGUCGCGACUGGAGAGGAGCCGUUCUUUCUAUCGUUCUUUUUUCCUAUGCGUGUUCAUACAAAUGAGCUCCGCCAGGAGACAGAACAGUUAUAGGGGGAGGGGCGCACCCAGCGCAGGCCAACCCUUUAUAGCGUGAUGAUAUUAGUUAUUAGUUGUGCAUGCAUUUACAUUGCAUUUUGUGUUCAUUUAAAACUUAUUUUAAAAUCAUUAAAAAUGUUCUUUUGUGAUACUGUACUUGUAUAGAAAUUUUUCACUAAAAGCUGUUUUCCACAGACAUUCAUUGCAGCCCACUUUGUUAUUGUUCAUUGACUUGAAGGGGUUGAUGUCCUAUUUGCAAAGUUUACAGUAGUAAUAGUAUGUAGUAUGUAGACAUUUCCAUUUUAUUUAUUCUAAUUUUAUCUACUUUAAAAAAAAAUAGUUUUCUAUCAAAAUGUUCUUGUGUGAUAACAAUGUUCUUGUGUGGAAGUGUUUGUAGUAAAAGCUGUUUUGCACAGAAAUUCAUUGCAGCCGGCUUCGUUUUUUAUGUUUAUUUGUGAGUAGGUAUUGUAUGAAUAACAUAAGUCAACGUAGUUUUACACACACACACACACUUUGUACUAAAGGUAAAUCAAAAUAAUGAUGUCACUGUCUAAGCAGAGGGAUUUGUGCAACCCUAUGGAAUAUAGUCCACACAUGAGAAAUGAGGUAACAAUCAAUAUUUCAGAAUAAUUCAAACUCAGAUAUUGGUGUGUGAUAUCUGAGCUUUAAUUAUUUGACUAACAAAUCUCACCUCAUAAUACCUCCCAGUGAUUAUUUCCAGGAUAAACUGAGAUGCUCCCAAGCUGGCUUCUUAAAACUGACUAAAUAUUUAAAAAGAGCCAAAAGAGCCAUUCUUUUGAACGGCUCUUUGAAAGGAACGGAUCGCGAAGAUCCGGAUCCCCUCAAAGAGCCAUAAAUCCCAUCACUAUAACCUGUACCUAGAUGUAGGUUGUUAUACUUUAUAUUGGUAUAACAACCAAUUAUAUAUAUUAUUAUGCAACUGCUAGGAGUCUAAUCUCUGAUGAAAUAUGGGUUGUGUAAUUAAAUUGACUAUAGUGAAAGUGAUUUUUAGAGCCAGUGGUUCUGUAAUAAUCAGUUAAUACAAAGACUUUCCAAACAGUGUGGUCUUCUAUGGUGUCAGUUAGUCACACACAGACAUCAAUAAUCAGAAUAUGAACCUCAACAAGGGUGACCAUAAAAGAAAAAAAAAAAUGCUGCAGAGCAUGCUGGGAGCCAUGGAUGAGUUUUGUACUACAACCCAGCAUGCAUUGCAGCAUGUUUUUUUGUCACCAUUGUUGAGGUUCAUAUUCUGAUUAUUGAUGUCUGUGUUUGACCAGUUACUGGCAUAGAAGAAAAAUGUAUGUGUACAAAAUGUUUAUGAAAUCAUUUUUAUAUUAACUGAUUAUCACAGAAUCACUGGCUCUUAGUGUCAUUUUUAUUAGGUCCACUUCUACUAAUUACACAUUUGUUUAAUCAGAGAUUAGACUAUGUAUAGAUCAAUAUUUGUGAAUAAUAAUGAAAAAUUAUCAUCACAGCUAUAAAGUACAACAAUCUACAUCUAGGUACAGGUGAACACCUGAUGGCAUUUCUUCUGGGCUUUUGAGUUACAACAAAUGUGUUUUAGAAACACACGGUUAUAACAGCCAGAGAAAAGACUAAGACAGAAGUCAAGGGUCAAGAGCCCAACUAAAGCAAACACUGAUCUCUAACAUGGUUACUUCAAAUGAAACAAUAAAUCAACAUCUAAACCUUAGUUCUUUCUCAAUAAGAUCUUCUGUAGACGUCUGACAGAAAUAAAGUCAGUCUGGUUAUUAAUAAGUGGAGCUGGUGAUGCUGUUUGUGGGGUUGUUUAAUCAGAUCUUGAGAGAUUUCAUGUAUUAUAUUUCAGUUGAUUUCAUCUAAGUCUGUGUCUGAAGUCAGUUGUAGUAGUUCUUGUGUUUCUCUUUUCUUCAGUGAUUCUGUUUGUUAGCAGCAGCUGUUCAUCACUAAUUCUCAAUCAGCACUUAGUUAAUCGCUUAAUUACUUAAUUGCAAUGUAUAUCUUCUUUCAGUGAACUCAACUGAAUUAAGUUCAGAGUACUCGUAACUAUUAGUUUUUUUAACUUAAAUGGUUUAAGGCAAUCAGUUUCCUCAAAUGGUUUGAGUUAACAUAACUUGUCAGGUUUGAGUGAGGCUGUGUCUGAAGUCAGCUGUUGUUCCUUUCUCUCUUUUCUUCAGUAAUUAUGUUUGUUAACAGCAGGUGUUCAUCACUAAAGCUCAAUUAAUCACUUAAUCACUUAAUUGCAAUGUAUAUCUUCUUUCAGGGAACUCAACUGAAUUAAGUUCAGAGUACUCAUAACUGUUAGUUUUUUUCAACUUAAAUGGUUUAAGGCAAUCGGUUUCCUCAAACGGUUUGAGUUAACAUAACUUAAGGAUAUCUGUUUACUCAAACCGUUUGAGUUAAGUUUACUUGUCGGGUAUUACAGUCAAGGCAAUCGGUUUACUCAAACGAUUUGAGUUGAGUUAACUUGUCGGGUUUUACAGUGCAUAGAAGAAGCAUUUUUGGUUCCACAAAGAACCAUUCAGUCAAAGGUUCUUUAAAGAACCAUCUCACUGACAUUUUUAUAAUCUGAAGAACUUUCUUUUGUCACAAAUAAACUUUUAUAAAGCAGAAAGGUUCUUUAGAUGUUAAAGGUUCUUUAUGGAAACAUUGAGACCAAAAUGUUAUUCUAUCUCUGGCAUUGUGAAGCACAUUUAUUCAUAAGAGUGUACAUAAUAUCUUUUCCUGCAGGGACAAGACAUAUGGAGUGGUAGCCACGAACACAUACACUGAAGUUGUACUGGAAUAUUUUCAAGGAAAAAGUUUAAGGAGAUACUGUAUGAAAGAGUGAGAUUAAUCAUUUGGAUUAAAUGAUUUGAAUUUAUAACUUAUAGUUUUUUUUUUUUAUUAUCAUGUUGGAUAUAGAUUUUUCUGAAAUUGUAAAAUAUAAUAUAUUAAGUCACUUCUUCACAAAUUUAGAAACUUAAUUCUGUCUGAGUUUAUCUUUGUUAUUGCUGAAUGAUUUCUCCUUGUUCAGAGAUAUUUUCUUUGACAAAUAAAACAGUGUUAAUUAAUUCAAAGUGUUUAAAUUUCAUUCUUUCAGUGUUUUAGACUUUAGAGGAUGUUAUAGGACUAAAGGGAAUUUUAGACUACUCAGGUUUACAGUACGUAUAUGAUAAAUGCAGAUGAGAAGCUGUGAAGAACAGAAUAUAUUCAUUUAUUUAUUCAUUCAUUCAUUCAUUCAUUUAUAUACUUAUAUAUAAUUACUAGUAAUACUUUAGGUACAUUUGGUAUAAGAUUAAGGAUGAAUUUGUGCAUAUUGUGAAUUAAAAUGAAUAAAAAAAAAAGAAUUUCCUGACAUU